rnacentral:rRNA from 1 species
CCUACGGGAGGCAGCAGUGAGGAAUAUUGGUCAAUGGGCGCGAGCCUGAACCAGCCAAGUAGCGUGAAGGAUGACUGCCCUACGGGUUGUAAACUUCUUUUAUAAAGGAAUAAAGUGAGGCACGUGUGCCUUUUUGUAUGUACUUUAUGAAUAAGGAUCGGCUAACUCCGUGCCAGCAGCCGCGGUAAUACGGAGGAUCCGAGCGUUAUCCGGAUUUAUUGGGUUUAAAGGGAGCGUAGAUGGGUUGUUAAGUCAGUUGUGAAAGUUUGCGGCUAAACCGGAAAAUUGCAAUUGAUACUGGCAGCCUUGAGUACAGUUGAGGUAGGCGGAAUUCGUGGUGUAGCGGUGAAAUGCUUAGAUAUCACGAAGAACCCCGAUUGCGAAGGCAGCUUACUAAACUGUGACUGACAUUGAUGCUCGAAAGUGUGGGUAUCAAACAGGAUUAGAUACCCUGGUAGUC